rnacentral:tRNA from 1 species
GCGUCUGUAGCCUAGUUGGUAAAGGCAGCACUCUAGUAUGUGUCUCAGCAUAGCUGAGGUCGUGAGUUCGAAUCUCACCAGACACA